CUUUAUUUCCCUCACAGAGCUAGAAUUCUCACAGUGGUUUAACAGUUAAUCCCUCUUUUCCCAUGGAACUCUGUGAACUGUAACUCUGGGAGGGGAAAAGGGACCUCCUAGCACCCUUAACAAACAACAUUUCCCAGGAUUCUUUGGGGAAAGUCACAAUUGUUUAAAAAGUGGUACAGUGCUGCUUUAAAUGUGUAGGACAGAUGGCGCGAUAGUUGAGUUCUUGCACAACAAGGCUACUUCCAAAAAGCACAGGAAUGAAUGAACAUGGAACUCUAUUAGGCCACAUCAAAAGCACUGAACAUCAUCAGGAAACAAGAAUACAAGAGGAAGAAACUUCCAACAAGAGCAGCCAAAUCCGACAUAUAUGUUUCUCAUAAGUGUCCCAUGUUGUUUAAUCAGGUUCAUUCCCAGGGUAGCCUUGGGUGCUCAGAGACAUUCAGCAUGCUGAGGAAGGCAUGAUCCUGGCAAUCAUGCCAGAAGCCUCUGGGCAUAUAAGCCGUCAGAUCCUUCUGAGAACUCCUCCCUCCAUCGCCCGUCCUUCGCUGGCUCUCGCUCAAGAGGCUAACAGGCAGUAAUGGAAUGCUGGGCAGCCAUGAGAGGCGAGAUUCCAUCGCCCUGCAUAUUGCUGACCACGGAUGCCAGCUCAGCACAUCUUGAUAACUCAUAACCCCUUGCCAUAGGUUUUUAUAGAGUGCCUGGUCUAUUGUAAAUCACUAACUCUCUGUCAUCGACCCAGCUCCAUCCCUGAUUCAUAGCAUCAGGAAUUAAACUACUGUCACACUG